UCCAUUUUCUAGCAGGGGAGGUAGGGUGGUUUCUUCCUUCCUUCCUUCCUUCCUUCCUUCCUUCCUUCCUUCCUUCCUUCCUUCCUUCCUUCCUUCCUUCCUUCCUUCUUGCUAUUGCCUUUCUUCUGGGCUGCUCUUAUUCUACGAUACUGUAGAACUG